CUCCUAAAUGAAUUUUUGGCAAAGGGAAGAGUGUGCCCUGAAGGGCCAUCAAGAACCAGAGGGGAUGCUCAAGUCUUAGGGACCCCUCUGCCCUCCAGGAGCACUUCCCUUCUGGUCAGGAAGGGGUACGGGACCAGUACCGACCAGCGUUAUCAAUUCUGGUUCCUGCCCAGGCCUCAGCCAAGGAGCCUCAUCUGGGUGAUACCUCAGGGUUUAGGUGGUUUUGGGGGCAUGAAAGCUCGUCUUGCCCACCACCUUCUCUAGGACAGCCUCUGAAUUCUAGUGACUGAGAACCUGUCAUUUUGCUGUUCUGAGCCCUGGAGCCACAGAGAUCAAGUACGGUCCAGUCAGUGUUCACUGGACAGUCCUUGGGCUGUGUGAGGAGUUAGGAUGCCUUGCCCACUUGACUUUUCAACUUCAGGACUUUACUAGGGGAUUUGAAGGCACGGUAUUCUCCUCAGCUACUUCUGUUAAUGCCUCUCCUGCUUGAUGGAUGGAACCAUCAGAUCCCCACACUGUGCAGGCAAAGCCAGCCCCCAGCCAUGAAACACGACACCUCUGAAGAUUUUGACUGGAGGACUGUUACCCAUUAACCCAGGUCCUUUCAAUAUGAUCGGAUGGUCGUCAGAAUGGCCCCGCGAAGCACGAAAGGAACCUGUCGUCUUUCCCGCCGCCAGAUUCCAGGGCGAAAAACAGGAGCCCCUUCCCCGCCCUGCUAUAGGCAGGGGUAUUGAGUGGGCCCAGCCCCAAAGGCGCUCCUUCCCCGGGAUCGACAGCUGCCGCCAGCCAGUUCUCCCGGGACGAGAGGCCGCCACUUACCUGCGGUUGGAGAAAACGCAAUUCCUUGCUUGGAGUCGGCCCUAUUCACUCCGACACCGAACUGCAAAGAGCGAUGGCUGCCGCGGCCUUAGUUCGCGUUAGCUCCUUCCGGGCCGGCGGGUGCUUCACUCCCGAAGGUUCGCAGGACAGCAGUGCCGCGCGCCUGCAGUUCCGCCUUCCGGCGGUUCCGCGGACAGUCCCGUGGCUGACUGCGCUCUGGGCUGGGACAUGCUGCCCACACAGGCCUGAAGGAGUUUAAGGCAGAGAAGGUAACACCGGUUCUUAGCUUGGGGAAA